rnacentral:rRNA from 1 species
UACAGAGGGGGCAAGCGUUGUUCGGAAUUACUGGGCGUAAAGGGCGCGUAGGCGGCCUCUUAAGUCGAACGUGAAAUCCCCGGGCUCAACCCGGGAACUGCGUCCGAUACUGGGAGGCUUGAAUCCGGGAGAGGGAUGUGGAAUUCCAGGUGUAGCGGUGAAAUGCGUAGAUAUCUGGAGGAACACCGGUGGCGAAGGCGGCAUCCUGGACCGGUAUUGACGCUGAGGCGCGGAAAGCUAGGGGAGCAAAGCGGGG